CACCUGAAAUUUCAGUGACUCAGGAGGCUGAGACAGGAGGAUCACAAGGUGGAGGCCAGCCUCAGUAAAUUAGCGAGGCCCUAAGCAACUCAGCAAGACUCUUGUCUCUAAAUAAAAUAUUAACAAUAACAAAAACAGGGGCUGGGUAUGUGGCUCAGGGGUUAAGAUCCUCUGGGUACACUCUCCAGUAUCCCCCCCCCCCAAAAAAAAAAAAAUCCAGUUGAAAAAUGGGCAAAUGAUCUGAAUGGAUACUUUUUUAAAAUAAGAAAUGCAACUGGGCAUGUGCCUGUCAUCCCAGCAACUCAGGAGUCUCAGGCAGGAGGACUGCAAGUUCAGAUCAGCCUGCGAAGCUCAGUGAGACCCUGUCUCAAAAUUCUUUUAAAAAAUUAAAGGUUGAAGAUGUAGUUCAGUGAUAAAAGCACCCCUGGGUUCAAUCCCAGUACUAAAUAAUAAUAAUAAAAUAGGAAAGAGGAGGAGGAGGAGGAGGUGAAAUGGUCAAGAAAUAUAUUAAAACAUGGUCAAUAUCAUUAGCCAUCACGGAAAUGCAGAUCAAAACUACAAUGAGACGAUCAUUUCACCCCAAUUAGAAUGGCUGUUAUUUUAAAAAAAAUAACAAAUGUUCAGAUGUGGAGAGAAAGGAACUUGUUCACUGCUAUUAGGCGUGUAAAUCAAGAAUACAACCAUAAUUAUUAAUCUGGUUCCUCAGAAAACUAAAAAUAGAUUUACCAUGUGAUCCAGCUACCCCACUUCUGGGUAUGUCUCCAAAAGAAAUGAAAUCAGCUCACCAAAGAAGUACCCCCACACCUCAUGUCUGUUAUGGACCUAUUCACAAUUACUAAGAUAAAGAAUCAACCUAGGAACCCACUGACAGGUGAAUGGAUAAAGAAAAGUGUGUGUGUG
rnacentral:lncRNA from 1 species